rnacentral:rRNA from 1 species
GAUGAACGCUGACAGAAUGCUUAACACAUGCAAGUCUACUUGAAUUUGGGUUUUUAACUUAGAUUUGGGUGGCGGACGGGUGAGUAACGCGUAAAGAACUUGCCUCACAGCUAGGGACAACAUUUAGAAAUGAAUGCUAAUACCUAAUAUUAUGAUAAUAGGGCAUCCUAUAAUUAUGAAAGCUAUAUGCGCUGUGAGAGAGCUUUGCGUCCCAUUAGCUAGUUGGAGAGGUAACGGCUCACCAAGGCGAUGAUGGGUAGCCGGCCUGAGAGGGUGAUCGGCCACAAGGGGACUGAGACACGGCCCUUACUCCUACGGGAGGCAGCAGUGGGGAAUAUUGGACAAUGGACCGAGAGUCUGAUCCAGCAAUUCUGUGUGCACGAUGAAGUUUUUCGGAAUGUAAAGUGCUUUCAGUUGGGAAGAAAGAAAUGACGGUACCAACAGAAGAAGUGACGGCUAAAUACGUGCCAGCAGCCGCGGUAAUACGUAUGUCACGAGCGUUAUCCGGAUUUAUUGGGCGUAAAGCGCGUCUAGGUGGUUAUAUAAGUCUGAUGUGAAAAUGCAGGGCUCAACUCUGUAUUGCGUUGGAAACUGUAUAACUAGAGUACUGGAGAGGUAAGCGGAACUAUAAGUGUAGAGGUGAAAUUCGUAGAUAUUUGUAGGAAUGCCGAUGGGGAAGCCAGCUUACUGGACAGAUACUGACGCUGAAGCGCGAAAGCGUGGGUAGCAAACAGG